GGAGUAUGGGCCGUGUCUCAGUCCCAUUGUGGCUGAUCAUCCUCUCAAACCAGCUACUGAUCGUCGCCUUGGUGGUCCAUUACACCGCCAACUAGCUAAUCAGAUGCAGACUCAUCCUUGAGCACCGGAGUUUUCAAGAUUAGUAUUUCAACUAAGCUCGUAUGGGGUAUUAGCAGAAGUUUCCUUCUGUUGUCCCCCACUCAAGGGCAGAUUCUCUACAUAUUACUCACCCGUCCGCCACUUUCCUCUCUAGCAAGCUAGAGAUUCUCGUUCGACUUGCAUGUAUGAAGCACGCCGCCAGCGUUCGUCCUCGAGCCAGGAUCAAACUACU
rnacentral:rRNA from 1 species